rnacentral:rRNA from 1 species
AGUGAACGCUGGCGGUAGGCCUAACACAUGCAAGUCGAACGGCAGCACAGUAAGAGCUUGCUCUUACGGGUGGCGAGUGGCGGACGGGUGAGGAAUACAUCGGAAUCUACUUUUUCGUGGGGGAUAACGUAGGGAAACUUACGCUAAUACCGCAUACGACCUACGGGUGAAAGCAGGGGAUCUUCGGACCUUGCGCGAUUGAAUGAGCCGAUGUCGGAUUAGCUAGUUGGCGGGGUAAAGGCCCACCAAGGCGACGAUCCGUAGCUGGUCUGAGAGGAUGAUCAGCCACACUGGAACUGAGAAACGGUCCAGACUCCUACGGGAGGCAGCAGUGGGGACUAUUGGACAAGGGGGGAAAGCCUGAUACAGCAAUACCGCGUGGGUGAAGAAGGCCUUCGGGUUGUAAAGCCCUUUUGUUGGGAAAGAAAAGCAGCAGGUUAAUACCCCGCUGUUAUGACGGUACCCAAAGAAUAAGCACCGGCUAACUUCGUG